ensembl:snRNA U6 U6 spliceosomal RNA
GCGCUCGCUUUGGCAGCACAUAUACUAAAAUUGGAAUGAUACAGGGAAGAUUGGUAUGGCCCCUGAAUAAGGAUAAUAUGGGGAUUUAUGAAGCAUUCCAUAUCGAG